UCCACAGAAGAAGAAGACUGAAGGAGAGAUUACUAGAAACUAACUAGGUUUCCCGUUUUAUCUGUGGAUUAAUUGUCGGAGUAGAGAAAACAAAAUGGGUCAAAAAUCUACAAAGGACCUUGUGGAUUUCAGCUGCCAAACGAACCCUGAAUCAGAUGACUAUCCUACCCAUGCUAGAUGACGGAGACGUAAUUUAUAGAUCGUUACCUGUAUGUUCCCGACGUGGUGAUCCUUUCUCUGUGACAUCACUGUUGUGAGCACAUUGCAAGGACUGCUGGUGAGGCUGAGACACAUGCAUUGUUUGUAUUCGCCUGCCUUCCAUGGAGGAACAUAAAUCCUU